GGGAUGCUGUCCUUCUAGGCAGAGUUCCUCUGUCCAGUCUCACCGUCAACAGUGAAGAGGCGACUCCGGGAUGCUGUCCUUCUAGGCACAGUUCCUCUGUCCAGUCUCAACGUCAACAGUGAAGAGGUGACUCCGGGAUGCUGUCCUUCUAGGCAGAGUUCCUCUGUCCAGUCUCACCGUCAACAGUGAAGAGGUGACUCCGGGAUGCUGUCCUUCUAGGCAGAGUUCCUCUGUCCAGUCUCACCGUCAACAGUGAAGAGGUGACUCCGGGAUGCUGUCCUUCUAGGCAGAGUUCCUCUGUCCAGUCUCACCGUCAACAGUGAAGAGGUGACUCCGGGAUGCUGUCCUUCUAGGCAGAGUUCCUCUGUCCAGUCUCAACGUCAACAGUGAAGAGGCGACUCCGGGAUGCUGUCCUUCUAGGCACAGUUCCUCUGUCCAGUCUCAACGUCAACAGUGAAGAGGUGACUCCGGGAUGCUGUCCUUCUAGGCACAGUUCCUCU